rnacentral:rRNA from 1 species
GGGGAAAGAUUUAUCGCUAUUAGAUGAGCCUACGUUAGAUUAGCUAGUUGGUAAGGUAAUGGCUUACCAAGGCUAUGAUCUAUAGCUGGUCUGAGAGGACGAUCAGCCACACUGGAACUGAGAUACGGUCCAGACUCCUACGGGAGGCAGCAGUGGGGAAUAUUGGACAAUGGGCGAAAGCUUGAUCCAGCUAUGCCGCGUGAGUGAAGAAGGCCUUCGGGUUGUAAAACUCUUUCAAUAGGGAAGAUAAUGACGGUACCUAUA